rnacentral:rRNA from 1 species
GAUGAACGCUGGCGGCGUGCCUAAUACAUGCAAGUCGAGCGAACGGACGAGGAGCUUGCUCCUUUGACGUUAGCGGCGGACGGGUGAGUAACACGUAGGUAACCUACCUAUAAGACUGGGAUAACUUCGGGAAACCGGAGCUAAUACCGGAUAAUAUUUCGAACCGCAUGGUUCGAUAGUGAAAGAUGGCUUUGCUAUCACUUAUAGAUGGACCUGCGCCGUAUUAGCUAGUUGGUAAGGUAACGGCUUACCAAGGCAACGAUACGUAGCCGACCUGAGAGGGUGAUCGGCCACACUGGAACUGAGACACGGUCCAGACUCCUACGGGAGGCAGCAGUAGGGAAUCUUCCGCAAAGGGCGAAAGCCUGACGGAGCAACGCCGCGUGAGUGAUGAAGGUCUUCGGAUCGUAAAACUCUGUUAUUAGGGAAGAACAAACGUGUAAGUAACUGUGCACGUCUUGACGGUACCUAAUCAGAAAGCCACGGCUAACUACGUG